rnacentral:rRNA from 1 species
UUGGAGGGCAAGUCUGGUGCCAGCAGCCGCGGUAAUUCCAGCUCCAAUAGCGUAUAUUAAAGUUGUUGCAGUUAAAAAGCUCGUAGUUGAAUUUCGGGAUCAAUAUUUCGGUCAUGCCGUUGGUAUGCACUGUUAUUAUUGAUUUCUCACCUUCUAAAGAACCGUAAUGCCAUUAAUUUGGUGUUACGGGGAAUUAGGACUGUUACCUUGAAAAAAUUAGAGUGUUUAAAGCAGGCUCACGCUUGAAUACAUUAGCAUGGAAUAAUGAAAUAGGACAUCCGAUUCUAUUUUGUUGGUUUCUAGGAUCGAUGUAAUGAUUAAUAGGGAUAGUUGGGGGCAUUAGUAUUCAAUUGUCAGAGGUGAAAUUCUUGGAUUUAUUGAAGACUAACUACUGCGAAAGCAUUUGCCAAGGAUGUUUUCAUUAAUCAAGAACGAAAGUUAGGGGAUCGAAGACGAUCAGAUACCGUCGUAGUCUUAACCAUAAACUAUGCCGACUAGGGAUCGGAUGAUGUUAAUUUUUUAAUGACUCAUUCGGCGCCUUACGGGAAAC